rnacentral:rRNA from 1 species
UACGUAGGGUGCAAGCGUUAAUCGGAAUUACUGGGCGUAAAGCGUGCGCAGGCGGUUAUGCAAGACAGAUGUGAAAUCCCCGGGCUUAACCUGGGAACCGCAUUUGUGACUGCAUAGCUGGAGUACGGCAGAGGGGGAUGGAAUUCCGCGUGUAGCAGUGAAAUGCGUAGAUAUGCGGAGGAACACCGAUGGCGAAGGCAGUCCCCUGGGCCUGUACUGACGCUGAGAAGCGAAAGCAUGGGGAGCGAACAGG